rnacentral:rRNA from 1 species
UACCCCACUAUGCUCAGUCGUUAAUAUGAUAUCCUCCAACAUGGAUAUCCGCCAGAAAACUACAAGCUAAAGCUUAAAACUCAAAGGACUUGGCGGUGCUCCACAUCUGUUUAGAGGAGCCUGUCCUACAACCGAUACUCCACGUUAAACCUUACCAUCUUUUGCCCCCAGCCUAUAUACCGCCGUCGUAAACCCACCCCACAAGGGCCCAACAGUAGGUUCAACCGUCCCCCCAAAAACGUCAGGUCGAGGUGUAGCUAAUAAGAUGGCAGCGAUGGGCUACAUUUUUUAACAUAAAACACUACAUCCCGGAGCCAUGAAAAACUCCUACAGGCGGAUUUAAUAGUAAAUUAGGCAAGAAAGCCUUUCUUAAACUCGCUCUGGAGCGCGCACACACCG